CUCUGGUUGAUGACCAUCACCAGGUAGUCUACAGUAUUCACAUCUCUGGUUGAUGACCAUCACCAGUCUACAGUAUUCAAACCUCUGGUUGAUGACCAUCACCAGUCUACAGUAUUCAAACCUCUGGUUGAUGACCAUCACCAGGUAGUCUACAGUAUUCAAACCUCUGGUUGAUGACCAUCACCAGGUAGUCUACAGUAUUCCAACCCUAUGGUUGAUGACCAUCACCAGGUAGUCUACAGUAUUCACAUCUCUGGUUGAUGACCAUCACCAGGUAGUCUACAGUAUUCAAACCUCUGGUUGAUGACCAUCACCAGGUAGUCUACAGUAUUCAAACCUCUGGUUGAUGACCAUCACCAGGUAGUCUACAGUAUUCA